rnacentral:rRNA from 1 species
UAGGGAAUCUUCGGCAAUGGGGGCAACCCUGACCGAGCAACGCCGCGUGAGUGAAGAAGGUUUUCGGAUCGUAAAGCUCUGUUGUAAGAGAAGAACGUGUGUGAGAGUGGAAAGUUCACACAGUGACGGUAACUUACCAGAAAGGGACGGCUAACUACGUGCCAGCAGCCGCGGUAAUACGUAGGUCCCGAGCGUUGUCCGGAAUUAUUGGGCGUAAAGCGAGCGCAGGCGGUUUAAUAAGUCUGAAGUUAAAGGCAGUGGCUUAACCAUUGUUCGCUUUGGAAAAUGUUAAACUUGAGUGCAGAAGGGGAGAGUGGAAUUCCAUGUGUAGCGGUGAAAUGCGUAGAUAUAUGGAGGAACACCGGUGGCGAAAGCGGCUCUCUGGUCUGUAACUGACGCUGAGGCUCGAAAGCGUGGGGAGCAAACAGG